GGACGUUGAACUGUCUGCAUUGCCAUACGAUCCACUGCUGAACUUGAUCGUGCGUCCACAGAAGUGGAUCUGAAAAAUUAAAACGCACGUUGGUGAACGAAAAGCCAACCAGAAGCAACAAAACAUAGCGGAUAACAGGUUCCAUACAAUCGGUACCACAUCCGAUCUAACUUGGACAAAAACUCUGCAGUUCAAGGUCUACAUAAAGCAAAUGGGAUAGACUCUUUGCAGUACGAGAAGCAGAACAUUCCGUCGACGUGUGCGGACAUACACAUCUGUCUGUCCUCAGAUGGGAAGGGCUUUAUAUAACAAUUUUCAGCUCAAAACUGCUUACUGUUAUACUUAUCAUAGGCAGAUGCAAGUGUAGGCGUGUGAAAUAAAACAGAUGCAGUAUUAUUCUUACAGGAUUGGUUAAAACAAUGAUAGCUUAAUCGAACUUUAGCCUUGACUAGUAUGUCACAUAUUUCGUACACGGAAGUACAUGUGACUACAUUUUGUUGGCAUCACAAUGAUCACGUUCCGUUUUUCACUUUAAAGUUUUAUUUUUAUAUAGUUUCAAUUUUGACCGUAGGUAAAUAAAUUAUCUUUCAUUUC